rnacentral:sRNA from 1 species
UUUGAUCCUACUAUAUUAUUUGGGAAGUACAUUUUAAAUGUAACCUUAAUUUUUGUAAGUAAUUAUAUAGAUAUGCCAUUAGAAAUAAAAUUUUAAAGAGUAAAUUAAUUUAUCUCUUUAAGGAUUAAAAAGUCAAAUACUAAUUUAAUU